GUGCUCACUUGGGCAGCACACAUACUAAAAUCGGAAUGAUACAGAGAUUAGCAUGGGCCCUGUGCAUGAGUGACAUGCAAAUUUGUGAAGCAUUCCAUAUUUUU
ensembl:snRNA U6 U6 spliceosomal RNA